rnacentral:rRNA from 1 species
AGUGAACGCUGGCGGUAGGCCUAACACAUGCAAGUCGAACGGCAGCACAGUAAGAGCUUGCUCUUACGGGUGGCGAGUGGCGGACGGGUGAGGAAUACAUCGGAAUCUACUUUUUCGUGGGGGAUAACGUAGGGAAACUUACGCUAAUACCGCAUACGACCUACGGGUGAAAGCAGGGGAUCUUCGGACCUUGCGCGAUUGAAUGAGCCGAUGUCGGAUUAGCUAGUUGGCGGGGUAAAGGCCCACCAAGGCGACGAUCCGUAGCUGGUCUGAGAGGAUGAUCAGCCACACUGGAACUGAGACACGGUCCAGACUCCUACGGGAGGCAGCAGUGGGGAAUAUUGGACAAUGGGCGCAAGCCUGAUCCAGCCAUACCGCGUGGGUGAAGAAGGCCUUCGGGUUGUAAAGCACUUUUGUUGGGAAAGAAAAGCAGAAGGUUAAUACCCCGCUGUUCUGACGGUACCCAAAGAAGAAGCACCGGCUAACUUCGUG